CGGGGAAGCUUGAGCCAGCCGCCCAGGGAAACACCAUCCAAGGAUACAGAGGGUCUGAAUGUAGGCGUGGCCGACCUCAUCCACCAAUGGGUGAAAGGGAACCCAGACGGAAGCUGCAAAAGCCCCUCCAAGCCAGCAGAGGUGAAGGCCGGUGAUGUUCUGAGCAAGAAGAACCUCUGGGAGAAUCUAGGAGACUCUUCCCCGUCUGGGGAGCUGGGAAGGGAGCUUCCUCUGGUAAAAAGUACACAUUUGUGAUGAUGACUCACGGCAAGUAUGAGAAGGUUGCCGUCGGUGAUGAUGAUUACAACGAGCACACAAACAGGAAACCAAGUAAGACUCACUUACAUCCCAUAUUUACUUUUGUUU